UACAGAGGAUGCAAGCGUUAUCCGGAAUGAUUGGGCGUAAAGGGCGCGUAGGCGGCUCAUGAAGGCUGUGGUGAAAGUCCGGGGCUCAACCUCGGAUCGGCCGUGGCGACUCGUGGGCUGGAGCACUGUAGAGGCGGGUGGAAUUCCGGGUGUAGCGGUGGAAUGCGUAGAGAUCCGGAAGAACACCAGUGGCGAAGGCGGCCCGCUGGGCAGUGGCUGACGCUGAGGCGCGACAGCGUGGGGAGCAAACAGG
rnacentral:rRNA from 1 species